rnacentral:rRNA from 1 species
GUAGGUGGCAAGCGUUGUCCGGAAUUAUUGGGCGUAAAGCGCGCGCAGGCGGUUCUUUAAGUCUGAUGUGAAAGCCCACGGCUCAACCGUGGAGGGUCAUUGGAAACUGGAGAACUUGAGUACAGAAGAGGAGAGCGGGAAUUUCCACGUGUAGCGGUGAAAUGCGUAGAGAUGUGGAGGAACACCAGUGGCGAAGGCGGCUUUCUGGUCUGUAACUGACGCUGAGGCGCGAAAGCGUGGGGGAGCAAACAGGAUUAGAUACCCUGGUAGUCCACGCCGUAAACGAUGAGUGCUAAGUGUUAGGGGGUUUCCGCCCCUUAGUGCUGCAGCUAACGCAUUAAGCACUCCGCCUGGGAGUACGGCCGCAAGGCUG